rnacentral:rRNA from 1 species
GAAAUUAUAAAUAAUACAAUCUGCUCAAUGAAUUUUAAAUAGCCGCUUAUAGUGCUAAGGUAGCAUAAUCAUUUGUCUUUUAAUUAAAGGCUAGAAUAAAAGAUUAUUCAAUUAAAUUUAUUUUUUUAUAAUAAUUUUUAUAAAUUAUUAUAAUUGUAAUAAAACAAUUAUAAAAAAAAAAGACGAUAAGACCCUAUUAAAUUUUACUUAAGUUUAACUGGGGCAGUUUAAUAAAUAAAAUUUUAUUAAAAUUAUUUUUUAAAAAAUCUAAUUAAAUUAAUUUGAUUAAAUUACUAUAGGGAUAACAGUAUAAUAAUAUUUUAAAGUUCUUAUUAAAAAUUUAGUUUAUAACCUCGAUGUUGAUUUAAUAAUCUUAUUUAUGCAAUAAUAAAUAAAGAAAGUCUGUUCGACUUUUAAUUAAUUACAUGAUCGGAGUUCAAACCGGAGACCCCC